rnacentral:rRNA from 1 species
CGUGUCGUGAGAUGUUGGGUUAAGUCCCGCAACGAGCGCAACCCUCACCCCUUGUUGCCAUCAGGUGACGCUGGGCACUCUAGGGGAACUGCCCCGGUCAACGGGGAGGAAGGUGGGGAUGACGUCAAGUCGUCAUGCCCCUUACGCCCUGGGCUACACACGUGCUACAAUGGCCGGUACAAAGGGAUGCGAGACCGCGAGGUGGAGCCAAACCCAAAAAGCCGGUCUAAGUUCAGAUUGGAGUCUGCAACUCGACUCCAUGAAGGAGGAAUCGCUAGUAAUCGC